CGGACGGGUGAGUAAUGUCUGGGAAACUGCCCGAUGGAGGGGGAUAACUACUGGAAACGGUAGCUAAUACCGCAUAACGUCGCAAGACCAAAGAGGGGGACCUUCGGGCCUCUUGCCAUCGGAUGUGCCCAGAUGGGAUUGGCUAGUAGGUGGGGUAACGGCUCACCUAGGCGACGAUCCCUAGCUGGUCUGAGAGGAUGACCAGCCACACUGGAACUGAGACACGGUCCAG
rnacentral:rRNA from 1 species